AGAGUUUGAUCAUGGCUCAGGAUGAACGCUAGCUACAGGCUUAACACAUGCAAGUCGAGGGGCAGCAUGAACUUAGCUUGCUAAGUUUGAUGGCGACCGGCGCACGGGUGAGUAACACGUAUCCAACCUGCCGAUGACUCGGGGAUAGCCUUUCGAAAGAAAGAUUAAUACCCGAUGGCAUAGUUCUUCCGCAUGGUGGAACUAUUAAAGAAUUUCGGUCAUCGAUGGGGAUGCGUUCCAUUGGG
rnacentral:rRNA from 1 species